UACACUCCUGCGGGAGGCAGCAGUGGGGAAUUUUGGACAAUGGGCGAAAGCCUGAUCCAGCAAUGCCGCGUGAGUGAAGAAGGCCUUCGGGUUGUAAAGCUCUUUUGUCAGGGAAGAAACGGUGAAAGCUAAUAUCUUUUGCUAAUGACGGUACCUGAAGAAUAAGCACCGGCUAACUACGUGCCAGCAGCCGCGGUAAUACGUAGGGUGCAAGCGUUAAUCGGAAUUACUGGGCGUAAAGCGUGCGCAGGCGGUUUUGUAAGUCUGAUGUGAAAUCCCCGGGCUCAACCUGGGAAUUGCAUUGGAGACUGCAAGGCUAGAAUCUGGCAGAGGGGGGUAGAAUUCCACGUGUAGCAGUGAAAUGCGUAGAUAUGUGGAGGAACACCGAUGGCGAAGGCAGCCCCCUGGGUCAAGAUUGACGCUCAUGCACGAAAGCGUGGGGAGCAAACAGGAUUAGAUACCCCAGUAGUCC
rnacentral:rRNA from 1 species